UGGUGCAUGGCCGUCGUCAGUUCGUACUGUAAAGCGUUCUGUUAAGUCAGAUAACGAACGAGACCNUCAUCUCUAUUUGCUACCUGGUUCUCCGGAAUCAGCGCACUAUAGGGAGACCGCUGGUGUGAAACCAGAGGAAGGGGAGGGCAACGACAGGUCAGUAUGCCCCGAAUGUCUUGGGCUACACGCGCGCUACAAAGGGCAGGACAAUGGGAUGCUAGGCCGAGAGGCAUUCAAGCUAACCCGAAACCUGUUCAUAGUUCGGAUUGAGGGCUGUAACUCGCCCUCAUGAAGCUGGAUUCCGUAGUAAUCGUGUUUCAAUAUAGCACGGUGAAUAUGCCCCUGCUCCUUGCACACACCGCCCGUCAAACCAUCUUAGUUGGGGGUGGGUGAGGCUGCGCUUUAUGGCGUAUUCGAGCCUGCCUUCGACAAGGAGGGUUAAGUCGUAACAAGGUAGCC
rnacentral:rRNA from 1 species